ACGGAAGGCAGCAGUGGGGAAUAUUGGACAAUGGGGGGAACCCCGAUCCAGCGGCGCCGCGUGAGUGAAGAAGUAUUUCGGUAUGUAAAGCUCUUUAAGCAGGGAAGAAAAUGACGGUACCUGCAGAAUAAGCCCCGGCUAACUACGUGCCAGCAGCCGCGGUAAUACGUAGGGGGCAAGCGUUAUCCGGAUUUGCUGGGUGUAAAGGGAGCGUAGACGGCAAUGCAAGUCUGAAGUGAAAGCCCGCGGCUUAACUGCGGGACUGCUUUGGAAACUGUAUGGCUAGAGUGUCGGAGAGGUGAGUGGAAUUCCCAGUGUAGCGGUGAAAUGCGUAGAUAUUGGGAGGAACACCGGAGGCGAAGGCGGCUCACUGGACGAUUACUGACGUUGAGGCUCGAAAGCGUGGGGAGCAAACAGGAUUAGAUACCCUGGUA
rnacentral:rRNA from 1 species